AUGAACGCUGGCGGCGUGCCUAAUACCUGCAAGUCGCGCGAACAGACGAGGAGCUUGCUCCUCUGACGUUAGCGGCGGACGGGUGAGUAACACGUGGAUAACCUACCUAUAAGACUGGGAUAACUUCGGGAAACCGGAGCUAAUGCCGGAUAAUAUAUUGAACCGCAUGGUUCAAUAGUGAAAGACGGUUUUGCUGUCACUUAUAGAUGGAUCCGCGCCGCAUUAGCUAGUUGGUAAGGUAACGGCUUACCAAGGCAACGAUGCGUAGCCGACCUGAGAGGGUGAUCGGCCACACUGGAACUGAGACACGGUCCAGACUCCUACGGGAGGCAGCAGUAGGGAAUCUUCCGCAAUGGGCGAAAGCUUGACGGAGCAACGCCGCGUGAGUGAUGAAGGUCUUCGGAUCGUAAAACUCUGUUAUUAGGGAAGAACAAAUGUGUAAGUAACUAUGCACGUCUUGACGGUACCUAAUCAGAAAGCCACGGCUAACUACGUG
rnacentral:rRNA from 1 species